GGUUGUCACGUGACACCCAGGAGGCCGGAACUGGGCGGCUUGCGUGAAUUGCAGGAGUUUGACAGAAACAGACCGCGACGUCGCGGAGGUAGGGUGUAUGGCCGAGGCUGUGAAGCCCCGCCGGGCCAAGGCCAAGGCCAGCCGCACCAAAGGCAAGGAAAAGAAGAAGCAUGAAGCCCUUCAGACUUGUGAUGCAGGUCCCCUGCCAGAGACCUGUCGCGAGCAGGAGAGCCCGUGUCCAGCUUCUGAACUCAAAGGAGAUGACCUGAAGUCGUCUGCUGACCCCCAGCUCCACAGUGAUGUGUGUGGAUGGAAUGAAAGUGAGAUGUUUGAUAUACCACUCACCUCCUUGACUAUAGGGGAUGAAGGUCCCCCGGUACAGGACACAGAGGACCUAAAAGAAAGGGGAGAGGUCACAGCCGGUGAUGGAGAUGAUGAAAUGGAGUUGAAGGUGGACCCUGGGGACAACGUUAUAGCUAAAGGUGAACCUUGUAAGAACUUCCCGGAAGUAGAGGACCACACACUCAUCCAGUGUGGGCCUCCAGAGAGCACACUGCAGCCUGACUUUCCCUGCACUCAGCAGGCAGUGGAGGGCUCACAUGCCAGAGAACAUCCGACUAGGAAGCAAGAUGAAGCCGCCCUCGGCUGUUCAAAGGUGUUUCAGAAUGUUAGCUUGCACAGUUCUUAUGAAGCCAAAGAAGUUUCUCAGCCACCGAGAGUGAAGAAACUAUAUCCUGAGUUGCCAGCUGAAAUUGCUGAAGUACCAGCUCUGGUGGCAGUGAAGCCAUUGCUCCGUAGUGAGCGACUCUACCCAGAACUCCCGUCUCAACCAGAAGUGACACCCUUCACUAAAGAACAGCUCAAACUCUUGGAGCCUGGCUCAUGGCUGGAAAAUGUUGCAUCAUAUGUAGAAGAAUUCGAUAACAUUGCUCAUCAGGACAGACACGAGUUUUAUGAGCUGCUUUUGAAUUACUCACGGUGCAGGAAGCAGUUGCUGUUGGCUGAAGCUGAGCUGCUCACUCUGAUGUCUGACUGCCACAGUGCCAAAAGUCGACUGUGGCACUUUAAGGAUGAGCAGAUGGCCGUACAGGGCAUCUGUGCAGAUCAAGUGAAAGUCUACGGGCAUCACCACUACCAGCGAGUAGAGAUGAAUGAAAAUGUCCUGGGCGAGCUGAAGAAGCUGUUUGAUGCCAAAUCUGAGCACCUCCACCAGACCCUGACCCUCCACUCGUACACUUCUGUGCUCUCGAGGUUGCAAGUGGAGUCCUACAUCUUCACACUGCUCAAUAGCUCAGCUGCUCUGAGAUCUUUAGCAGUUUAUCAGGCAGACCAAGUUCCUAAACUGACAGAAAGCAUCCCCUCUGAUGUGUGUCAGCUGAAGGAGUGCAUUAGUGUCUUGUUCAUGUUCACCAGGAGAGUGAGUGAGGAUGCCCAGUUCCAUGAGGACAUCCUGCUCUGGCUGCAGAAGCUGGUGUCCGUGUUACAACGAGUCGGCUGUCCUGGGGAUCACUUCUUUCUCCUGAACCACGUUCUCCGCUGCCCAGCUGGCAUUCGUAAAUGGGCUGUUCCUUUUAUACAGAUCAAAGUGUUGAAUAACCCUUCAGGGGUCUUUCAUUUUAUGCAGUCCCUUGCCCUGCUGAUGUCUCCUGUCAAAAACCGAGCGGAGUUUAUGUGCCACAUGAAGCCCAGUGAGUGGAAGCCAUCAUCUUCAGGGCCAGCAUCUGGGAACUGGACACUUGUAGAUGAAGCGGGGGAAGAGGAUGAAGACCCUGAGACCAGUUGGAUUCUCCUUAAUGAAGACGACUUGGUCACCCUUUUGUCCCAGUUUCCCUUUCAGGAGCUCUUUCAGCAUCUUCUUGGGUUUAAAGCCAAAGGUGAUUAUUUACCUGAAACAACAAGGCCCCAAGAGAUGAUGAAAAUUUUUGCCUUUGCCAACUCAUUAGUGGAGCUUCUGGCUGUGGGACUAGACACCUUUAACAGAGCCCGCUACAGGCAGUUUGUGAAGCGCAUUGGAUACCUGAUCAGGAUGACCCUUGGCUAUGUCAGUGACCACUGGGCUCAGUAUGUGAGCCACAGCACAGGCGCGGGGCUAACACCGCAGCCCUACUCCAUGGAGAAACUGCAGGUGGAAUUUGAUGAGCUGUUUCUCAGGGCUGUCCUCCAUGUCCUGAAAGCCAAAAGACUUGGCAUUUGGCUGUUCAUGUCUGAGAUGCCCUUCGGCACGCUGUCGGUCCAGAUGCUCUGGAAGCUCUUGUACCUCAUGCACCAGGUGGAGAGUGGGGACCUGCAGCAACUCUGUGCCUCCCUGCAGCCGGCCGAGUGCAAGAGGCGACUCCAAGACCCAGAACAUUUUGCGAGCUUUGAGAAGUGUCUUUCUUCCAUCAACAGCUCAGAGGAGAUCUGUCUCCUCACGGCCUUUGCUCAGAUGGCUCGAGCCAGAAGAACCAAUGUGGAUGAAGACUUCAUAAAAAUCAUUGUCCUGGAGAUCUAUGAGGUAUCUUAUGUCACACUGUCUACCAGAGAGACUUUCUCAAAGGUUGGUCGAGAGCUUCUGGGAGCCAUUGCAGCUGUUCACCCUGAGAUUAUCUCUGUCCUUUUGGACAGAGUGCAGGAGACCAUUGACCAAGUUGGAAUGGUUUCUUUAUACUUGUUUAAAGAACUGCCUUUGUAUCUUUGGCGACCUUCUGCCCCAGAGAUAGCUGUGAUUCGGGACUGGUUAUUGAAUAAUAAUCUGACAGCAGUGAAGAACAAGUUGGCCUGUGUGAUCCUAGAAGGACUGAAUUGGGGAUUUACUGAACAGGGUACCCUUCAUUUGGAUCAAGCAUUGCACACGGAAGUGGCCUUACUGGUUCUCGAGGCUUAUCAGAAAUACCUGGCACAGAAACCUUAUACUGGGCUUAUUUCUGAAAGUAUGAAACAGGUUUCCUAUUUGGCCAGUAUUGUUCGAUAUGGAGAGACUCCUGAGACCUCAUUUAACCAGUGGGCCUGGAAUUUAAUCUUGAGGUUAAAAUUGCACAAAAAUGAUUUUGGAAGACAGAACUUUCCAGUCAUUCCCUUCUGCAGCACAGUACCUGACAUGACAGAAUCGUCCAUGUUUCACCCUCUCUUGAAGGCUGUGAAAUCAGGCUUGCCCAUUGGCUGCUAUCUCGCUUUAGCUGUGACAGCUGUUGGCCACAGCCUUGAGAAGUUCUGUGCAGAAGGCAUCCCACUGCUGGGCGUGCUGGUCCAGUCACGGCAUCUGAGAGCAGUGGUCCAUGCCCUAGAUAAGAUCCUGCCUGUGUUCUACCCUUACCAGUGCUACCUUCUGAAGAACGAGCAGUUUUUGUCGAACCUUCUCCUCUUCCUACAAUUGGACAGCGGUGUUCCCCAGGGGGUCACACAGCAGGUCACCCACAGGGUGGCCCAGCAUCUGACAGGAGCCGUCCAUGGAGACAAUGUGAAACUUCUCAGCAGCAUGAUCCAGGCACACAUAUGUGUAAGCACUCAGCCGGAUGGAGUGGGUCCUGUGGCUGUGUUGGAGUUCUGGGUCCAGGCUCUCAUAAGCCAGCAUCUGUGGUACCGAGAACAGCCCAUUCUCUUCCUCAUGGACCACUUGUGUAAGACAGCGUUUCACCUGAUGCAGGAAGAUUGUGUGCAAAAAUUGCUCUACCAACAGCACAAGAAUGCUUUGGGUUACCACUGUGACCGGAGUCUGCUCUCUUCCUUGGUGAACUGGAUUGUGGCAGGGAACAUCACGCCUUCCUUCGUGGAGGGCUUGUCCACGUCCACACAGGUUUGGUUUGCAUGGACUGUGUUGAACAUGGAAUCCAUCUUUGAAGAGGACUCUCAGCUCCGAAGAGUUGUUGAAAGGGAAUUGGUUAUAAAUGCGUUUAGCCCUGACCAAGCUCUAAAGAAAGCCCAGGUCCAGCUGAAGCUGCCCAUCGUCCCGUCCCUGCAGCGGCUGUUGAUUUAUCGCUGGGCCCACCAGGCUCUGGUCACACCUUCUGAUCAUCCCCUUUUGCCACUCAUUUGGCAGAAGUUCUUCCUCCUGUAUCUUCAUCGCCCAGGACCACAAUAUGGGUUACCUGUGGAUGGUUGUAUUGGAAGAAGGUUUUUUCAAAGUCCCUCGCACGUUAAUUUGUUGAAAGACAUGAAGAGACGCCUGACGGAGGUGGCUGACUUCCACUAUGCUGCCAGCAAGGCCCUCCGUGUUCCAGCAGAGGGCAGUGAAGGGACACCAGAAGGGCAGGCUGGCACCCCUGGCUUCCUGACUUCCCCAGAACUGCACAGGGAACUAGUGAGGCUCUUUAAUGUAUAUGUAUUAUGGCUAGAAGAUGAAAAUUUUCAGAAAGGAGAUACCUAUAUUCCUUCUUUACCAAAGCACUACGAUGUUCACAGGCUAGCAAAAGUGAUGCAGAAUCAGCAGGACCUGUGGAUGGAGUAUGUGAAUAUGGAGCGCAUACAGCACGAGUUCCAGGAGACAGUUGCUCUGUGGACACAGGCCAAGCUUGAGUCCCAUGCCGCACCCUGCAGCUCUUCAGCACAGCUGGAUUUCACGGACCCCUUGCUGGCUAAAGCAAGGGUUCUGAGUAACUUAGAGAAGCACGAGGCUCCACAUCCUCCUCUUCUUCUGCACCCCGUGAGGCCUCCCGUGCCACUCAUUCCCUCUGCUGCGCUGUUGACACAGAAGGACAGCACCCAGCUCAUGUGCACAGACCUGAAUCUGCUGCAGCAGCAGGCCAGGAGUGCCACUCUGCGGGAGUCGCAGCAGGUUGCCUUGGAUGGCGAGCUGUUGGAGACCAUGCCCAAACAGUACGUUAACCGGGAAGAUCAGGCCACCCUGCAUCUGGAGUGCAGAGGCAGCAGUGGCAAGAAGUGCCAAGGAGCAGCAGUUGUAACGGUCCAGUUUGAAGGCAUGAACAAGAAUGAAGCCGUAAGCCAGCAGAUCCAUGUUCUGCAGAAAGAAGUGAGGCAGCUCCAAGCGGAAGCUGCUCAGCCCCCGGCACUGAAUGUUGUGGAGGCCGCUGUGCAUGCAGAAAACCUGAUCACGGCCUUAGUGAACACUUAUAAGUUACAGCCUACACCUGGAGUUCAGAAACUUGGCAUUAGCCUUUUCUUUACUGUUGUGGACCAUGUCAGCGAUGAGACCCAGCGCCAUCCUCCUACAAGGCAGUUCUUCACUUCAUGCAUCGAGAUCUUGGGACAGGUGUUUGUUAGCGGCACUAAGUCCGAGUGCAGGAAGCUGCUCCAGACCAUCCUGAAGAACAGGCGGCUCUGCUCGCUGCUGGCUCCUUUCUUCACGCCCAAUGCUGCGCCCGCCGAGUUCAUCCAGCUGUAUGAGAGAGUGGUGACUUGUCUGCGCGAGGACAACAGCGACGUGAUCUUCAUGCUGCUCACCAAGUUUGAUAUUCAGCAGUGGUUAAACAGCACUAAGCCCCCUCUGUCUGACCGCACCAGGCUCCUGGAGUCCAUUCACUUGGCACUCACUGCCUGGGGCCUUGAACCAGAGGAAGAUAUUCUGAUGCCAUUUAAUCUUUUCUGCAAGCACUGGACUCACCUCCUACUCUACCAGUUCCCUGACCAGUACAGUGAUGUCCUCAGGCUGCUGGUGCAGAGCUCUGCCGAGCAGCUGCUGAGUCCCGAGUGCUGGAAAGCCACUUUGAGAGCCCUGGGCUGUUAUGCCCCAAGCAGCCAGCAGGGGGCGGCGUCUGUGGAGAGCUCUGGGCUUCACAGUGCCUCCCGUGUUCUCCUGUCAGACAAGCAGGUAAUGGAGACGGUACAGUGGCUUUCUGACUUCUUUUAUAAGUUGCGGCUCUCCAAGUUGGACUUUAAAAGCUUUGGAUUAUUCUCAAAGUGGAGUCCUUACAUGGCUGAUGUGAAGACAUUUCUGGGAUACCUUGUGAAAAGGCUGACUGACUUAGAAAUAGCCUCCUUGUCUCAGGACCCAACCGCCAGCAGCAAAGAAGUGCUGAGGUCCCUGCACGCGCAGAUCAUCCAGCUCUUUAAGCCCUGGAUCCUGGUUUUAGAGGACGCGGAAAGUAGCCACCAGCGACAUUACCCGUGGCUGGAGAGUGACACUGCGGUGGCCUCCAGCAUCGUGCAGCUCUUCUCUGACUGUGUCGGCUCAUUGCACACGAGUUUUAAAGACAGGCUGUUGCCAGGCGAUGAGGGAGCCCUGCGGUUGCACCUGCUGCACUACUGUGAAACAUGCACAGCACCCAAGAUGCCGGAGUUCAUUCUCUAUGCCUUCCACAGUGCAUACCAGAGACUGGAGUGGAAGGACUUGCACCCUGACCAGAGGCUCAUGGAGGCCUUCUUUAAGGUGGAACGUGGAAGCCCCAAGAGUUGUUUCUUGUUUUUGGGGUCUGUACUUUGCAGAGUCAACUGGGUUAGUGUGCUGUCUGACGCCUGGAAUCCCAGCCCCCUUCCGGAAACCCAGAGCAUGGCUGUCUGCCUCCUUUUCAUGAUGGUUUUACUAGCAAAGGAGGCUCAGCUCGUUGACGAGCCAGAUUCACCUUUACUGAGUCUCCUUGGACAGACAAGCUCACUCUCAUGGCAUCUUGUGGACCUUGUGUCAUACCAGAGUGUGUUGGGUUAUUUCAGCAGUCAUUACCCACCAUCCGUCGUCCUGGCAAAUGACUGUUCCUCGGAACUGAUAGUGAAGCUGUUAAAAGUGUCUGCAGGGCUUUCUGCUCAUGCUGACGGCCGGAAGCACGUGGACAUAGUUCCAAAAUGCCAGGCUUUCACUCAUCAGAUGGUUCAGUUUCUCAGUGCCUUGGAACAGACUGGAAAAAUCACCUUCCCAGCACUGGAGCGGGAAAUAUCUAAGCUGUUGGAUGACAUCAUUAUCUUUAACCCACCCGGUCUGAGUGUGUGUGUCUUUGCCUUUAGACAUGGACAGCCAGACCCGCCACAUGGCCCUCAGCAGCUUCUUUGUGGAAGUCCUGAUGAUGAUGAACAAUGCGGCUGUUCCAACAGCAGAGUUCCUUGCUGUCAGUAUUCGGACCUGGAUUGGCCAAAGAGUGCAUGGCUUGAUAGUGCUGCCCCUCUUAACAGCAGCCUGCCAAAGCCUGGCGUCUGUCCGCCACAUGGCGGAGAUCACCGAAGCCUGCAUCAUGGCCUACUUCAAGGAAAGCUCCCUCGAUCAGAACUUAGGAUGGGGCCCCGUUCUGGUGUCCCUUCAAGUUCCCCAGCUCACCGCGCGAGACUUUCUGGAGGAGUGCUUAGCCCUCGGUAGUUGUUUGACUCUCUAUGUCUACCUGCUUCAGUGUCUGAACAGUGAGCAGACGGUGAAGAACGACAUGAAAAUGCUCCUCGUCGUCAGCGGCUGGCUGGAGCAGGUGUACCCGAGCUCUGCACAGGAAGAGGCAAAGCUGUUUCUGUGGUGGCAUCAAAUCCUGCAGCUGUCUCUGAUUCAGUUGGAGCAGAACGACUCCGUCCUGACAGAGUCCGUCAUCCGGAUCCUGCUCAUGCUGCAGAGCAGGCAGAGCCUUAUGGCCGAGGAGAGGCUCAGCUCUGGGAUUCUGGGGGCAAUCGGGUUGGGCCGGAGAUCACCCUUGUCCAACAGGUUCCGAGUGGCUGCCCGAAGCAUGGCUGCCUUCCUGUUGGUUCAGGUCCCUGCAGAAGACCAGAUUCGUCUGAAACCCAGCUCUGAGUUACAUCUGGCUCCAAAAGCUCAGCAGGUGCUGACAGCUCUGGAGUCCAUGACGCUCAGUAAGCAGUAUGUGGAGUACCAGGACCAGAUACUGCAUGCUCUUCAGUUUAUAAGGCAUCCUGGCCACUGCCUUCAGAAUGGGAAAAGCUUCCUGGCCCUUCUUGUCAACCGCCUCUAUCCAGAAGUGCAUUACCUGGACAACAUCCGGUAGUGAGGCCGAAGCCCUCGGAGCACCGUGUCGGCCCUGAGUUUACAUUAGCCGUGCUGUUGUGCAUGUAUCUUUCCUCAGUUUCGCCACAGAGCUCAGUUCUGCCUGGAAUCGACUGAGGUGCAGUUGGGAGGCAUCAGCUCGUCCUGGUUGCACUUACCUCUUCUGUCCAGUGGCCAUCUUAGUGUGAAUGCUCUUCCACAAGUCAACUGAGUUCCCGAGUACAGACCACUCACAUUUGGGGAAUGUGCCUGUCAGCUCCCUAAGAACAACAGAUAGAGUUUUUGGUAUGUCUGCACCUCUGUCUCCCUGCCUUGUUUAAAGGUCAAGACUCCUAAUGCCAGAUCUGACCACUUUGGGAGGCGUGAAGAGCCCUCUUUUGGAACUCCAUUGUAUUCUUCCGAUGUAAAAAUUCUGUAUUUCUGAAAUGUAGGGAAACACACCAGCUUUAAAGUGUUAUGUUACAGCUCUUUGAGUGGAGAGACUACACUGGAUUAAUUCAGGAGUGGUAGCUGGGCAGUGGUGGCACACACCUUUAAUCCCAGUACUUGGGAGGCAGAAGCAGGCAGAUUUCUGAGUUCGAGGACAGCCUGGUCUACAAAGUGAGUUCCAGGACAGCCAGGGCUACAGAGAAACCCUGUCUCAAAAAAAGCCAAAUAAUUUAUUAAUUAAGAAAUUCGGGAGUGGUGGCCCACACCUGUCCUCUGAGCACAUCGGCUGACUGAAACAGGAGGAUCACAAGGUUGAGGCAGCGUGAGGUGUGUAUCAAGAACAUCUCAGCAAACAGAGCAAAGGAGCUGAAUUAAAAUGAGUCCUGUGCAGACAUGUCACUUAACCCUGACCACAGUGGCCAGCACAGAUGGUGACACAUCCUCUGGAAGUGAGCUUGUCUGAAGUGAUGUGACAGUGUGCCCUAUGCCAGCUGUGUUGUGCACAGGUGUGUCGUCUUUGGGAGCACAGAAGCCCUGACCACAGCCGCCAGGGCACUGGAACCCUUUGGGUCUCCUCAGUCACAACGUUUUAUUAGCCCUGUCUAUGUGGAAUUCCCAGCUCUUGUUAUAAGUCAGGGCUUCUGCAGGCCCUACUGUCAGGGACACCGGGGACUUUGUACUUCUUCCUUAGGUAAAUCAGAUGGCGCUCAGGGACUCGCUGGAGCAUAUGUCCAGAGAGAAGGGCCAGGUCACGGCAAUCUGAGAAGUUUGACUUUUUGUGAGUAGCUCCGUGCCUUCUGUCAUUGCUGAGUCCCCGUUACCUGUCUGGCACAGUGCUCUGCUCCCUUUAGAUCUCCUGCUCAUGUCGCUCCCUGUAGAGUUCCUAAUUUGACUUCUGUCAGAAUAGUCCUACUUCUCAAAAAUGCCCCCAAAUGGGUUUUGCAGGUUCAGCUUAAAAUACGUCUUUUUUAUGGGUUUAGGUCUAGAAAUAUCUGUGUAAAAUCUAUGAGUGGCCACCAAGAGCCUUGACUAAAGAUGGGAUAUACAGCUAGUGGGUCCCUUCCCUGCAUUUGGAAGCUUGCAGGAACUUCUUAUUGGACAGAACAAGUCUGCCUGGUAGACAUGUCUUAGAACACUGAUAAAGGACGAUCCUAUUCAGUGGCACAAAGUAUCAUUGUCCAGGAAUCUGUCUCAGCCAUCUUUAUUUCUGCUUCUCUCUGCUUUCCAGGUCUGUCAUCCCCUCUCCAAUAGAAGAAAACUUUAGAAGCUGUAGACAGUUGAACCAGUGGUUCUGUGGUCAGGAAACACUGUUUUUGUGUGCUUUCUCCAAGGAGAACCAAGUUACCAAUAUCCUAGAAUGUGAAAUGUUUGAGUCAUAGUGUGUACAGUUUAGAGAAUCAAUUAAUUUUGAAAGUUUAUAAUAUUUGUAAAUUUUAUCUGUAAAAAGUAUAAACAAUAAAAUCAACCUUUGAUUGUAACUGAUGAAUCCGAAUUGAAGGCUAAUGUAGAUUUUUAUGACUGAUAAUACAUUUAUUUGGCUUUGUAACUGGUCGGUAAAAUUGCCACUAUUUUCAUCCCUGCUUAACAUCUGAGAGUUAUUUGCCUCAGAUUCUAUGAGAAGCACUGGGCUAAGUCUUUAAAACUAUGUAAUAAUUCAGAACAAAGAAGGCUGCCUGUGGACAGGCUGGCUGGCUGGCUGGCUACCGGAAGACAAACCUGGCUUUGCUAGGAAAAUGGUUCACUUUGAGAAUGCAAGUCAUGACAUCAGGGACAGUGAUGGGCACUUGAUGUCCUUGUCACCAAGCAAGGCCGUGGCUGAGCAGUAUGGAAGGUGGCCAUCGCAGACUCCAGAGCCUUCUGCAGCUUCCCAGGAACAGAUGAGAGUGUUGGCCUCAGCGGAAGUGCCUCUGCCUCUCCAGGCAUUGCCCACCUCCUUGGAGUGCACAUGUGGGGCAUGGGGGUAGGGGAUAGAGGUUGCUCUGGCCUUCCUUGCUCUACAGCCCCACUGGAACAGGUGACGGCAGGUCCUGUAGGAUGGUGGCUGUAAAGGCCAGCGCCCACCAUACACAUCUCUAAAGCUCCUGCACACUUGACCUUGUCUCUAAACAUGACGGGCAGGUGUCUUGCUGGUUAGGCCUCCACCGCUCAUGUGUCUUUUGUUUUUUGGUGUCAGUGAACAUGACGUGUAGACUCUCCCUGUAACUAGCCAGCAGUCUUUCUCCUCCAAGGCCAGCCAGUCUAUGCUCUGGUGAGUUUAAGCGCUUUGUCUGAAUCAAGCCAACAACACUGGUUUUCAAAGGUAUUUUCUAAAAAUUGUUUCUUCUACGCCCCCCCCCCCCAAACCCACAAAAUUGAUUCUUCUGAAGCAGGAAGCCAGUGUCUAGGAUCGUGGGCAGAGUUGAGGCACAUAUAAAUACCUCCGUUCCCUUAGUGGCAGUCCUCAACCUCUCCCCAACCCUGGCCACUCCCAGCCCAGGCUUGGCUAUGCCAGGGUCCUCUAGUUCUGAGUAUCUUGAGCGAGAAUGGUCCCUUAUAACCUUGCCUAUUGAUUGUGGAUCUGCCUGGAGCACCCAGGAAGGACCUGUUCUCAGCUACCUCAAGACAUUCCUCCUGUCCCAUCUCCUUAGUCCUCUCUAAGUAGCCAGAGUCCUUAGUCAUCUUUAAACGUGGCGUCGCGUCGCGUCCGAUAAAGCUGCUUUUGUGGGCAAAGUGCCCAAGUCAGUCCACACUACUGUGCCAAGGGUUAGCAGUGCCAGAACUGUGCAUGCUCAGCCCUCACAGAUCCUCACAAGGAGAGAGAGCAUCCUUGCCAGUUUUAUCCCUGGUGCUUUGUCGCCUUAUCCUGGACCCUGCCCUAGAGCUGUUACCUCCUUUGGGCUAAGCAGAUCGAAUCGCUCUAGCACUCACUUGGGCGGCAUCGGUUCCCAUUGUCCUAUGUAGUUGGCACGUUAACCUAGCAUUGAGUUAAACCACAGGCCUCUUUAAUAGCGGUCACUGCCCGAGUUCCACUGAGCAUCUACUUGGUCAGCCCAGUGGUCAGGCCCUUUGAACUUCGUCUCUGAUUGCACCUGCUCUUUAGUUAGCUAAACUUCACAGUCCAUUUUAAGGUGCUAGCUGAUCAUGUUAGGUGAGGCUCUUAGAGCCAGGGCCCUAAACAGACUGUUGUGUAGGAGUCAUGUGGCCAGGAGCAGGUCAUGUGCUUAUCCAUAGUCUCCUUCGCUCUGCACAGGCUUCUGAUUCCUCACGAGGAUAACGGGAAAAGAAAACUUACACUGCUCAUAUUUUACUAAUGAAAGUGCUGGUGUUGGUUAUAACUCAUUUUUCAGUGUGUCAUGCAAUAUGGCUGAGCACUGAAGAGAGGCUUGCUUUCAGUGGUUUGAGGUCAUUUAUAUCGGAGAUCAGUAGUGUGGCGUGCUCACCUCAGCUAGUGUGACCUUUACAGCCACAGUUUUACUCUUGCUCCAUCCUCUUGCCCCCCCCCCCCACGUGCUCAUGGCUGGCCUCUACUUCUCUACUCCUUCUCUCUCUACUACCCUCUCAACUUCCCUCCCCAUGCCCUGAGUAAACUCUAUACUAUACUAAACAAAACCAAAACAAACAAACAAAAGACCAGUCUUAUUUUGGCCAUUUAACUGUGCAAUACUUACUUCUUAUUCGCUGUUUAGUAUUUUCCAUGCUCAUACAAAGGACGCUUUUUUUUUUUUUUUUGUAAUGAUGGUGAGAAAUUGGAAGCCGUGAGAAUUAGUUAAGUGAAAUUCUGCAAAUAAAGGACAUUGUGAUUUCUCAUGC